AUUGAACGCUGGCGGCAGGCCUAACACAUGCAAGUCGAACGAGUGGCGGACGGGUGAGUAAUGUCUGGGAAACUGCCUGAUGGAGGGGGAUAACUACUGGAAACGGUAGCUAAUACCGCAUACCAUCAGAUGUGCCCAGAUGGGAUUAGCUAGUGGGUGGGGUAACGGCUCACCAAGGCGACGAUCCCUAGCUGGUCUGAGAGGAUGACCGGCCAACCGGGAAUUGAGACACGGCCCAGACCCCUACGGGAGGAAGAAGUGGGGAAUAUUGCACAAGGGGCGAACGCCUGAUGCAGCCAGGCGGCGUGGAUGAAGAAGGCCUUCGGGUUGUAAAGUACUUUCAGCGGGGAGGCGUUACCCGAAGAAGAAGCAACGGCUAACUCCGUGCCAGCAGCCGCGGUAAUAC
rnacentral:rRNA from 1 species